GGGUCCUGCACACCGGAGGGACUCGGCAGCCGGGGGCACGGAGGCUCCCCUUGAAGAUCCGGCUCUGGAGAGACAAGAGGGAGGAAGGGCAGCGAGCCUGCCUGGUAGGGGUGCGCAGGGGUGGGGGCAGCGGAGGAGACUUGCGCGCUAGCUCCGGUACUGGGGCGCGGGCAGCGUAGCCCUGGGCCGCUCUCGAGUCUGGCAGUUGCAUCGGCGCGACCUGGAGUGAAGCGCCGAGACGAGGCGGUGUCGGGGUGGGGGUCCAAGGCCAGUACAAGACGCAGGGGUGUGGGGGACUGGGCUAGGAGCACAGGGGAGCGCUCAGUGAGCGAUUUUCCAGCCGAGCCGCUACAAGCCCCAUUGGGCACUCAGCAGCCGGCGUGUGGGCCAGCGGGGGGAGGGCGCACGGGGCGGGCAUGUCUGGUUCAGUGUCUGGUUCCCGUUGUUGUGUCUUGCUAAUUCCCUGGAAAGAAAGAGGCUAACUGCUCCGGGGACUAGGGACUUUGGUGAGACAAGGUAAGAGGGGGGAAAAGGCCCAUAUCUUUAUGUUCUCCCUCGGACUUGGCCAGAGAAGAACCACAGUCACCUUGCACUCCAGACAGCCAGAAAGCAGCGAGUCGGCACCUUGCUUGUCUCCCUCUUAUCCCAGCCGGUUUUUAGCCAUCGCUAAGCCUAGGGCGAGGUUUCAGUCCGGUUUCAGCGUUUCUCCUCUACCUAGUCCCCUGAGGACCCCAGAUUUCUCGCGGUACAGAUCCAGAGAGGGUGGGGUAAGUAAGAAUGGGGAACGUCACAGGGGAAACGAACUUGCGCGCAGCGCGCAGGAGGCGGCGGACAAAGAUCUUGCGCGGCGCCCCUGCUCGACUCUUGGCGCUGGCGCGAUGGCACCCGAAGGCCCCGGGACAGAGAGAGUGCGGGCUAAUCUGGGUAGAUCGAGGACCCCGCAGAGGAGCGCCCACCGGCCAUCGCCUCCACACCCUCCCUCCGACCUCACACCUAGCCCCCCGCGCGCACCGGCACAGCAACUCGGGCAGCGGGUCGACUACGGCCGCUGGGAAAGUAACAGGUUACCGUUCCUAGUAGCGCCUUCGGCUGCUACUGCCCAGGCGCCCCUUGGAGGGACAGGCGCUCGCAGCAUGGAAGCUCAAGGGAAAAUCGCUCUUGCCCCACUUCAACUAGAGCCUCAGCCUCCGUGCGUCCCCGGGGCGUGAAUCCGGAGGGCAGGGAUAAGAAGAGUGACGAGGGCGGGGGGAUCCCUGCGCAGCGCACCCAUGGAGAGCAGGAACUAGGGCGGGCAGGAAGCACUCAUUUCGGGAGGUUGGGUGGCCGGCGCUGGGGAUGGGGUUGGUUGAGAAGCCGCGGGCGGAGAGGACCUGGCUGAAAAGCCACGGUUGGGUGCUGGGAAAUCCAGGUGGUCGCUCGCUUACCCACCUCGGCUCGGCGACAGCGAGCCGGGCAGUCCCGCUUUUCCUUUGCACAGCGCCCAGCGAUCCGCUCGGCUCGGCCCUGACAGGCGUAAUCUGCCCGGCGUCACCUCCAGCUGCUUCCUCGUUCUCGCUAGUUCCGUCUCGCACGCGAGCGCCAGGAGAAGAGAGAGAUUCGGAGAGGCGGCUGCACGGCUUCGGGGAGAUGAGCGGCGGUUUUGCCUCAGUCCUUUUCCCCGGGGUUCCCCCAGAUCUGUGACCCUGCGACGCUUCCUUGAGCGAAAGCGCGCUUUGGGUCGUGUCCUCGUUGACUCUGUACGGAGCUGGGAUUGUUGUAACGGCAAAGGAGGCAGAAAUGAGGGGAGACCUCUCAGACCAUGGAGGAAUUACAGUUUCCUCAUCCAGCCCUAGGCCUCAUCAAAGUACCACACCUGGCCACAGCUACCCGGUGCCACCGGCAGAGAAAAGGACCCCGCGUCCCUUUCGCUAUGCGCUCGCCCCUCGCUUUGGCCCUGGUGAUGGGAAAAGAAGGCCUCCUGAUGAAUCACGUCUGAAGGUUGAUGACACGCACGAGCGCCGCUGCACGCGCAUGGGGAACCCGAGCACAGAGGUGCCCCGGGAGGGGAGGACCAGCCCCCCUCGCCCUGGCCCACUGCCCCUUCGAUUUCACGUGCUUUAAGGAUUCUCCCUUUGCAACAUUUAGGCGUAGUUGAAAGAACCGCUGCGUUGGGAAAAGCCCCUCGCCGUAAAAAUGCGUUGAUAGAGAAAUUCCCACCAGAGGGCGCCAAGAGCCCAGAGACCCAGCGGCCCUGCUCUCCCGGGUCUCUCCUCCAGCGCCCGAGCAGAGCCCACACCUGGAGCUGCCGGCCAGGCGGUUACGCGCCGGCCUGCCUCUUCAUGCCUUCCCUCACCGCCCUGUCACUAGUUUAAGUUCUCCCCUUUCUUCUCCCCCAGUUUCUUUUUCUUUAGGGCAAAAAAGUUGAUGUCUGUGCGUGUCUGGGUGACACCGUGUAGGUAAUGAUUCCUUUACUGGUAUUUACCAUGGUCCUCCCCCUCUCCCCCGGUGUUGCAGCACGCAGGGGUUAUUUAUACGCACGUCUGGGGCCUCACUGGUUCAACCAAGGCCCGUGCGUUUUCUUUCAAUGCCUUAUCGCCUUUCACCACAACACAAUGGAAACACACAAAAAUAUUAUAAAUCACCGAGAGUUCCAUAAGGGAGAUCGAAGGGUCCGCCCUGGGCAGACAUGGCCUGAUCAGCAAGAGGGAUCUCGCUGUGGGGUUUGAAAUAAUCUCGUUGCCUUUGGUACUAAAGAAACUACUGUUUUGUCGCCUUGUCUCCACCUGACAAUAAAAUCCCGGGCACUUUUUAGGACACAAAAAACAUCCUAAACGGCGGGGCGCGCGGUGACUGCAGCCCUGGGCACUGAGGCUUGGGGCUGGACAGGCUGGGGGUGCCUGCUCCACGUAGGAAACGUCCCCCCAAACCACUCAACCAGCAGCUGCUCUGCGCCGCUUGAAGUGGGCGGCAUACAACCAGGUGAAGCUCGGAAUUCCAUCCACCGGCCCUCCUAGAGCCUUCCCCUAAACGAGACGGUCGCACCAAUCAGGGAGCCAGGUGCCAGUGCUAAAUCAUUCAAGACGCACGGGGCAGGAGACAGGAGGGAGGAGGCAACAUAUCUCCUGGUGCCGCUCGUUCUUCAUUGUCCAGCAUAGACGCCCGCUCGCCCUGUCUCCUCAACCUUUUCCCAAAACCCGUGAUUCCCUGGAAAGGAAGAUUCGUUUACUUCACCUGUGGCACGAGAUUGAGACAUUUCCAAACAUUUCCUCCUUUGACCCCAGAGUUCAAAACACCCCUAACGUUUUAGCCAAUAAAAUAAUCUCGUUGGAGAAGGAAUCUUCUGCAAGGCUAGGUAUCGCAAGCUGACGCUGAGUCCGUCCAGCUUCGAGGACAUCCCUCUCUUUCUCCUUUAUGGUGAGUAGGGGAGGAAUAAAGCCUCUUGCCCGUCCUUGUUUAGAAUGUUUAAUUGAAUAUUAGCAACAAUUGAUUAAACGAAUAUUUACUAAUCCCCUACUAUGUGCCAACCACUUAUUUUUUGGGGCUUGCAUUGUCCCUGCGGUUUAUAUUAUCCUGCACGCCGGGAGUGGACAUUCCAGUGAGGCAGGGAGAGGACCGGACUUAGAAACUUCAUAAAUUUGAUUUAAUUUGCAAUGAUUUCCUCCUCCAACUCAGACUCUUGGGCACAGCAGGAAUGGUAAGGAAUUGAAGGCCUGGAAUUCCACCCCAUCCAGACACUGAGUUUUGAGGUAGGGCAUAGAUCUUUCAGCACGAAGGACAGCGCCCGCCCUUCUGGUCCCCACGCCUCUGUUUCGUUUGCUUCCGCCAAUAGCUAUGGGCCAACCCACCAGGCUCGCCCCAGCCCUCCUCCCUCCUGGCAGUAACUGCUGUGUUUGUUUUGCCUAGAUGCGGGGUGAGGUAUUUCGCCCACUGCUCUUCUCGCCGGUAGGAAUUUGAACUAAGAGUGGCCGUGGUUGUCAUUCGGCUCUAAAAAACAUUUGAAACCUA